GCCGGGGUGGCGGAAUGGCAGACGCGGCGGAUUCAAAAUCCGCUGGGGGCAACCCCGUGCGGGUUCAAGUCCCGCCCCCGGCA
rnacentral:tRNA from 1 species